GGUUCGAUGGCGUAGUUGGUUAUCGCAUCUGUCUAACAUUCAUCGGAGUGCGAUUUGUCACACAGAAGGUCCCAGUUCGACCCUGGGUCGAAUCA